UACGAAGGGUGCAAGCGUUACUCGGAAUUACUGGGCGUAAAGCGCGUGUAGGCGGCUCGAUAAGUCUGCUGUGAAAGUCCAGGGCUCAACCCUGGAAUUGCCUUUGAGACUGAGUGGCUUGAGUACGAGAGAGGUGAGUGGAAUUCCCAGUGUAGAGGUGAAAUUCGUAGAUAUUGGGAAGAACACCGGUGGCGAAGGCGGCUCACUGGCUCGUAACUGACGCUCAUGGCACGGACAGC
rnacentral:rRNA from 1 species